GAUGAACGCUAGCGGCAGGCCUAAUACAUGCAAGUCGAACGGGAUCAGGGAGCUUGCUCCCUGUGAGAGUGGCGCACGGGUGCGUAACACGUAUGCAACCUACCUUCAACUGGGGGAUAGCCUUCCGAAAGGAAGAUUAAUACCGCAUAACAUAAUUGAAUGGCAUCAUUUGAUUAUCAAAAGUCAGGGCUGAAGAUGGGCAUGCGUCCGAUUAGCUAGUUGGUGUGGUAACGGCACACCAAGGCGACGACCGGUAGGGGAUCUGAGAGGAUGACCCCCCACACUGGUACUGAGACACGGACCAGACUCCUACGGGAGGCAGCAGUAAGGAAUAUUGGGCAAUGGACGCAAGUCUGAACCAGCCAUGCCGCGUGCAGGAAGACGGUCCUCUGGAUUGUAAACUGCUUUUGUUAGGGAAGAAACCCUCGGAUGCGUCCGGGGCUGACGGUACCUAAAGAAUAAGGAUCGGCUAACUCCGUGCCAGCCGCCGCCGUAAAAC
rnacentral:rRNA from 1 species